rnacentral:rRNA from 1 species
UACGAAGGGGGCUAGCGUUGUUCGGAAUUACUGGGCGUAAAGCGCGCGCAGGCGGCUCUUCAAGUCAGGGGUGAAAGCCCAGAGCUCAACUCUGGAACUGCCUUUGAGACUGAAGAGCUUGAGUACGGGAGAGGUGAGUGGAAUUCCCAGUGUAGAGGUGAAAUUCGUAGAUAUUGGGAAGAACACCGGUGGCGAAGGCGACUCACUGGACACGUAUUGACGCUGAGGUGCGAAAGCGUGGGGAGCAAACAGG